AGUGAACGCUGGCGGUAGGCCUAACACACGCAAGUCGAACGGCAGCACAGUAAGAGCUUGCUCUUACGGGUGGCGAGUGGCGGACGGGUGAGGAAUACAUCGGAAUCUACUUUUUCGUGGGGGAUAACGUAGGGAAACUUACGCUAAUACCGCAUACGACCUACGGGUGAAAGCAGGGGAUCUUCGGACCUUGCGCGAUUGAAUGAGCCGAUGUCGGAUUAGCUAGUUGGCGGGGUAAAGGCCCACCAAGGCGACGAUCCGUAGCUGGUCUGAGAGGAUGAUCAGCCACACUGGAACUGAGACACGGUCCAGACUCCUACGGGAGGCAGCAGUGGGGAAUAUUGGACAAUGGGCGCAAGCCUGAUCCAGCCAUACCGCGUGGGUGAAGAAGGCCUUCGGGUUGUGAAGCCCUUUUGUUGGGAAAGAAAAGCAGCAGGUUAAUACCCCGCUGUUCUGACGGUACCCAAAGAAUAAGCACCGGCUAACUUCGUG
rnacentral:rRNA from 1 species